UGGAAAGUCUCAGUUCCCGGUAUCAUUCAGGA
rnacentral:piRNA from 1 species